GUCAUUGCUCGUUAAGAAUUUUGUGGGGUGAUAUCGCGCGUUUAGUUGGAAAAUUACACGACAGUGCAAAAACCACAACUCGCUACUGUAUUCGACAAUGACGACAGUUGGAAAUACGUAAUUGAUGUGCUAAGGACGAAAAGACAGAGAAAAAAGGAGUGGUAAUAUACAGUGUUGAGCAGUGCAGCGUAUUGUUGUUUGUGACAAGUGAAAAGUAAACGUAAAGCACUGUAGUUUAUGUAAACGUGAAAUAUAAAUUAAAGUAUGUAAUUUAGUUUUUUAAGUAUACAAAAAAUAUUUCUAAAUUCUUAUUACCAGCAGCUGAAAGGAUUAAAUUGGACAACCAUUGAAACAAAAGUGACUGCAUGGAAGUGAAUGUGAAUUUAUUAAACUCUUAUUAACUUCAUCAAAAAAAAAAAACUAAUUAAUUUAACAAGUGCGUAAAUGUCCGAAAUAUUUAAUUUCAUAAAUUGUACACACAUAUAUGUAUGUAUGUGCAAAGAAAAAGUGUUAACAAUUUUUAAAUUUAAAGUGCGAUAUGUCUGAAGACGCGUCACAUAAAAUCAUACAUUAUUUGAACAGCACUGAAUAAAUAAAUAAUAACAAAAACGUUUUGCAGUUCCAACUCAUUUUUAUAUGGAUCUAAACUGCUUGCAAAUACUAGAUUUAAUUCAAAUGUAAAAUAGAUGGACAAAAAUGAAACUAAAUAGUGAAUAAGUAGAUUCUUCAAAGCCGAGAUUAGGAAGUGUUGCACCCUAAUGCUCUAAUUCAGACGAUAUGGGCACAACAUGGCCUCUGCACAUAUAUUGCAAUACAAACAUAACAGCACUAGAAAAUCAGCAACUGAAAAGCCAACACAAACAUUUUCAACAACAACAGCAACAAUUGAUGAAAAAUGUUUCGUGCGAUACACUUCCGGCACACCAGAGGCUUGCUGCGUUACUAACGAGCGGAAACAAUUUACAGACCAGCCGUCAGCUACAGCUUACAACGGAACAACAAGCACAGACACAGACACAGCCACAGUCACAGCCACAGUCACAGCCACACACCUUUCGACACAACGUCUGCCAAACACGCUCCUCGCUGUUAAAUCUGACACAAAACGACUGUUUAACGGUACAGCGAAAAAGGUUCAUCAGCCGACAGACGAUAUCCUACUACAAAUACAAAUACAACAACAAGGCUCGUCAAAUUUUUCAACAUUGCAAGCGAAUAUUGCCAACAAAGUCGACUGCACGUUUUUUGCCACCACAUCGUCAUGGAAACAAGCAACGGCUCCGAAGCGGCCAAGUUCAAGCCAACCGCCACCAUUGGUGUGGCCAAAUCAGAAAUGUUGUCAGCAAGAAGCAGAUGAUGUCGUCUGUAAGUACCACAGUGUGGAUUGUAGACGUCGGGGAAGAAGUAAAAGUGAAAGUGCUAUACUGGAAGAGCUACAUAAACAACGCCAACAACAGCAACAACAAGAAGAGCAACAAAGGAGAUGGCAUUCGGAGAGCAGUGGUGCGGUGUUGCCGUGUGAAGGCAUCAUUGCAGGCAUGUCAAGUGCAGCGAUAUCUAAUGUCGACGGCGACAGCGAGUGGCAGCAGCCGGAAAAGUGCCGACAAGAACAAAUAUGUCAUGACAUUGCUGACUUUGAUGUCGGCGUUACCGAGGGCUCAGGCAAAAUGUCUACAGAGAUUUGCGAUCAACAGUGGGCUCAAUCAACUACUUCCACGGGUAACAACAACAGCAACUACUACAAAACCAAAAGCUGCCAAUCAAACGAAACGAAAGAAAAACGCAAAUGUAUUGCUGUUGUUGCAGCCGCUAGUCAAGAAGCUGGUGACUGUGAUUGCUUGGACAAGCCACCUGUUGUCCAACCUUCGUCAUGCACACGCCAAUCUUCCAGAAAUGCUAACGAACAGCAAAACGAACCAAUGCAGCGAGGCAAACAAGCUGAAUCAAAAGAUUUCAAACUGCAAUUUUCACGACAACUCUUUCUUUCGGAAAAUCCCUGCUCAUUCGCUGUCCCAGCAACAUCUCAGCUACUUCGACAACAACCUCAAAGAGCAGCCGGUAAACCAACCAGAUCGCUGCUUUUACAAUCUACGGAAGCAGUUAAUGAAAUGCCCGAACAACGAAAUAUUUUUCACACUAAAAAAGUAUACAACAACAACAACAGCAUUUCCUCUUACAACGCUCUUGAUACUGUUGCUGACAUACUCCAUAUUGGCAGCAGCAAAGCAACAAGUGCUGUUGGCUUUAAUAAUGAUUACAUUGCAAUCGCUGCAACAACAUCUACAGCAAUGUGCUCCACUUUCUUGGCGGCAGUGCGUUCAAAACUGCUCUACACCCUGGCUGAUCUACAGGCAUACUCACGCGCUCUACUCUCGCUCAUCAUUAUCCUCAAUGUGCUGCCGUUAUUUUCAGCAGUGGCGUACAAUUUCGAUGCUGCUUCUGAAUUAAGAGCAAACGGUGGGCCCAAUCCGGCAGCACAACCAUGGAUACCCAUUGUGGCUUACUUGGAAACACCACCGAGACCUACAAAAGCUCCAAAAUGUGACCAGACAUUCGUUUCACGCAUUGGUGGGCCGCAGAAUGGCACAUUCUCUGCGCCGCUGCUGCACAAUCACAAAAAUCAUUCACGUCAAUGCUUGUACACUUUCCUAGCAGGACCCGGACAACGUGUCGAAGUACUAUUUACAUCAUUUAAUUUAAGAGGAAGUCCACCAGAUGGUUCCGCCGUGGGGGAAUUACCAGCCUGUGUUCACGAGUACAUGGAUAUAUAUUCUGAAGUGCAAUCAUCAGAUCCAGCUGAAUUAAUAAAUUCACCAUUUGGUGGACGGUAUUGUGGUACAAUACCGCCACGACGACGAAUUUCCAUGUACCGAGCUAUAGCCAUUUCAUUUUUUACGAAUAAGAAUGUAUCAACACCCGAUUUAUUCGAAGGAACUUAUAGAUUUAUAAAUGCAUCUGAAUAUGAAAUUGGUAUACCAAUAGCGGGUUCACCAUGUUCCUACACCAUCACGCCUAGCAUGAGUAUCAAUAAAACUGGGGCACUUAUAUCGCCAACUUAUCCGGGUGCCUAUCCAAAGGAUAUGUCAUGCACAUAUCAAUUUCUCGGCGAAUCAAAUCAAAGAGUUAGAUUAGAAUUUCGUGAUUUUGAUCUGUUUUUUGGUGGACCACACUGCCCAUUUGACUAUGUCAAAGUGUAUGAUGGUCCCGAUAAUUCGUCAGCAUUAAUUGGUACAUAUUGCGGACAGCAAAGGAAUUUAGUAUUAUAUUCAAGCGAAUCGAGCCUUUUUGUUCAUUUUUAUACAUUGCCGAGAACAGCAAAUACACAAAAUCGUGGCUUUAAAGGAAUUUAUGAAUUUAGCGAAAGUUUUGUUAAAUUAGAUUUUAUACGUGAAAAUGAUGGCAUUCACAUACGUGGCUCGGAAUGUGAUCAAAAAAUAUUAUCGAGAAAGGAGUCAACGGGUUUUGUGCUUUCACCAAAUUACCCCUAUCCAUAUAUACCGAAAACAGUUUGUAGGUACUUCAUUUACGGUAUGCAAGAUGCUCAGCAUCUGGAACGCGUACGUCUGGAAUUUUCAGCUUUCAAUAUACCAAAGGUAGAGCAUAAGGAUAAAAGCGAAUCCAAUUGCACAGAUGGUUAUCUCAAGAUUUAUCUGAAAGGACAAGAAACUGCCGAUGCCUAUGAUAAAUUCGAUUAUGAAUUGUGUGGCAAUGAAACACAACGAGUUCUUAGCGAUGGACCACGUUUGGCAAUGGUUUUCAGUUCGGGUGAGCUGCAAGGACGCGGUUUCAAAGGUAAAUACGUAUUUGAAACUGAAUACAAAAUACCCGGCACAGCUGCACCUGAUGGCACCUGUAGCUUCACAUAUGUGAGUAGUUCGAAAAAACGUGGCGAACUAAAUAGUCCACGAUAUCCAUCCAAUUAUCCAUCGGACACGAAUUGUUCGUAUCUGUUUUUGGGCGAACCAAACGAACAGGUCACGAUCGUUUUCGAUCAUUUUAAAAUAAAAGCGGAUGGUAAUUCAAAUGCAACUGCCGGAGCUUAUGGCUCUAGUGCAUGUUUCGAAGACUGGUUGGAAAUGUACGUUGUUUAUCGCGAUAACAAUGAUCGUUUUCUUGGUCGCUACUGUGGUUUGACAGCACCCGGCCCCGUUGAGAGCCCAAGGGGUGCGGUUGGUCUGCGCAUCACAUUGCAUACGGAUCAAGAGAAUGUAGCUAGCGGUUUCAAGGCUCGUUAUUUCUUCGAAACUCCUCGCACUGACGUUGCGGAGUGUGGUGGCAAUUUCUCUAAUCUAGAUUCGGGUAUUAUAACCUCGCCUAAUUAUCCAGCUGGUUACAAAGCACCCAGUCGCGGUAUGGCAUCGAUGGCAUGCAAUUGGAUAAUGACAGCACGUCCAGGUUAUAAGUUAUCGAUAAACUUUGAGCACUUCUCUAUCGAAGGUGACCCAGCAAAUCGUGGUUGUCCUGCUGCUGUGCUACGCCUUUGGGUUAAUGUUGACUCCGAUCAACCGCCGUUGGAAUUGUGUGGUGAAAAACCUCUCAUAGAACAGUGGUAUUAUAUUUCCACUGGACAAACUGUCCGUAUAAGUUUUACAACCAGCGAUAAAACCGUUGGUGCACCGGGCUUCCGCAUUGUAUGGACUGAAAUACAAGACUCAGGUCCAGGACCACCGUCCAUUGGGCUACUCUGUGAAUCAACAUACCACUUCCAAUGUGAGGUGGGCUACUGCAUUUCCGAUAAAUUACGUUGUGAUGGUGUCAAAAACUGUGGUCCUGGCGAUGAUAGUGACGAAUUGCACUGUGAGUCGUACCACACAAGCACCCGAGGAGGAUCACGGCGUUCUAAUUAUAAUAACACUAAUCGUCGUCUCGUUCCUAAUCUGUCUCCUAUGCACACUCUAUCACUCCAGAAGAAAACGUAGAGCCCAUGUGCGGCAGCUGGGCUUACAUCGCAACGCCCACUACGAUUCACAAACGAGCGCAACUGUUUUUAAAAAAUUUUAGGUUUUAUGAGCACAUUAGUUAAUUUAUGCACUAUAUUGAUACAGAAACUUUACACGCUGCCAG
rnacentral:misc_RNA from 1 species